CAGUCGAACGAAACUUCUUUAUCACCGAGUGCUUGCACUCACCGGUAAAGGGUUGAGUGGCGAACGGGUGAGUAACACGUGGGCAACCUGCCCAAAAGAGGGGGAUAACACUUGGAAACAGGUGCUAAUACCGCAUAACCAUAGUUACCGCAUGGUAGCUAUGUAAAAGGUGGCUAUGCUACCGCUUUUGGAUGGGCCCGCGGCGCAUUAGCUAGUUGGUGGGGUAAAGGCUUACCAAGGCGAUGAUGCGUAGCCGAACUGAGAGGUUGAUCGGCCACAUUGGGACUGAGACACGGCCCAAACUCCUACGGGAGGCAGCAGUAGGGAAUCUUCCACAAUGGGCGAAAGCCUGAUGGAGCAACGCCGCGUGGGUGAAGAAGGUCUUCGGAUCGUAAAACCCUGUUGUUAGAGAAGAAAGUGCGUGAGAGUAACUGUUCACGUUUCGACGGUAUCUAACCAGAAAGCCACGGCUAACUACGUGCCAGCAGCCGCGGUAAUACGUAGGUGGCAAGCGUUAUCCGGAUUUAUUGGGCGUAAAGGGAACGCAGGCGGUCUUUUAAGUCUGAUGUGAAAGCCUUCGGCUUAACCGGAGUAGUGCAUUGGAAACUGGGAGACUUGAGUGCAGAAGAGGAGAGUGGAACUCCAUGUGUAGCGGUGAAAUGCGUAGAUAUAUGGAAGAACACCAGUGGCGAAAGCGGCUCUCUGGUCUGUAACUGACGCUGAGGUUCGAAAGCGUGGGUAGCAAACAGGAUUAGAUACCCUGGUAGUCCACGCUGUAAACGAUGAAUACUAGGUGUUGGGUGCCAA
rnacentral:rRNA from 1 species